CUCUCUCUCUCUCUCUCGGGGCAGCAGCUCCGCCCGCUCUGAAAGAAGGAAAGCUGGAUUUCUAUUCACGGACACUAGUGAGUUGGUUAUUUAUUUGGCUUCUCUGAAAAGUGGCCACGGUCGUCCUACCAUCCUGUCGCUGUCUUUCUGGAAAGCAGUCUGGUGAUAGCUAUCAAAAUGGGGGCCCACAGGAAGCUCAGAAGAUUCAGAAGUACGGGGAGCCACCCCAAGCCCCGAGAUGACCACUGCUUUCCUUCUCAGCGGGUCUGAACGCCAGC
rnacentral:lncRNA from 1 species